GUGCACCAGGCGAGAAACUUUACAAUGUGCGAAAGCACGAUAAGGGAACUCUGAGUGCCUCCUAAGGAGGCUGUUCAGGUGUCUAAAAGCACCUGAAGGAAGGGCUGGGUAAGACCGGUGCCAGCCGCCGCGGUAACACCGGCAGCCCAAGUGGUAGCCACGUUUAUUGGGUCUAAAGCGUCCGUAGCCGGCUGGGUAAGUUCCUUGGGAAAUUUGGCUGCUUAACAGUCAAGCUUUCAGGGAAUACUGCCCGGCUUGGGACCGGGAGAGGUCAGAGGUACUCCAGGGGUAGGGGUGAAAUCCAUUAAUCCUUGGGGGACCACCGGUAGCGAAGGCGUCUGACCAGACCGGGUCCGACGGUGAGGGACGAAGGCUAGGGGCGCGAACCGGAUUAGAUACCCCUGUAGU
rnacentral:rRNA from 1 species